UACGAAGGGUGCAAGCGUUACUCGGAAUUACUGGGCGUAAAGCGUGCGUAGGUGGUUUGUUAAGUCCGAUGUGAAAGCCCUGGGCUCAACCUGGGAAUGGCAUUGGAAACUGGCGGGCUAGAGUGCGGUAGAGGGUAGUGGAAUUCCCGGUGUAGCAGUGAAAUGCGUAGAGAUCGGGAGGAACACCAGUGGCGAAGGCGGCUACCUGGACCAGCACUGACACUGAGGCACGAAAGCGUGGGGAGCAAACAGG
rnacentral:rRNA from 1 species